AAACUGUGUUGUGGGCCCUUUCUUAAUAAGUCCUUGAAUCUUUCCCAAGCUUCGUACAAACUUUCUUGAUCAUGGUGGACAAAAGUCAUUAUCUCAUUGCUUAGUUU
rnacentral:snoRNA from 1 species